CAGUAACACAAGACUGUUUUAUCUUAAUUUUGCAUAUUUUUUUUUCUAGGUGUACAACUGUGCAAGUAUUGAACAUCAGCUUGAAAUGCAAUGUGACCUAAAAGACAGUAUAAUAAUGGACAGAUGUAAGUAAUGAUAAAAUAGUCAAUGAUAUAUGGGAAAUGUAUGAAAUUGUAAGAAAAAGUUGACAGGCAUAUUGUUUUACACCUGUCCCUCCGUCGGUCAGUUAACUAUAUAUAUAGGUCAAAGUACAGCCUUCAGCAAUGAUCAUACUGCAUAGUCAUAUAUAAAAAGGCCCUGAAAUUACAAUUGUAAAAUAAUUCCAAACUAAUGACCUUAAUAUUAAUAUACAAAUAAAAUAACUAAAAACAAAUAUGCAACACAGCAACAAACAACAACCACUGAUUGUCCAGGUUCCUGACUUGGGACAGGCACAGAAGAUAGCAGGAUUAAACAUGUUAGUGGGAUCCAAGCCCUAAUAAAAUCAUAUUUUAGUUAUUCUCCUCAAGAAAAUCUAAUAUAAUGUAAUUAACAUCAACCAUUGUCAACACUUUUAAAUGUUGUACUUAACUUUAUAUAUAUAAAAGAAUGUGGUAUGAUUGUCAAUGAGACAACUUUCCACAAGAGACCAAAUGACACAGAAAUUAAAAACUAAAGGUCACUGUACCCUCUUCAACAAUGAGCAAAGCCCAUACUGCAUAGUCAGCUAUAAAAGGCCCCAAAAUGACAAAUGUAAAACAAGAAAAUGAAAAUCAACGCCUAAUUUAUGUACAAAAAAUGACAAAAAAAAAAUAUAUAUGUAACACUUCAACAAUUGACAACCACUGCAUUACAGGCUCCUGACUUGGAACAGGCACAUACAUUACAUUGUACCUUAAUAUUUUAAUUCGCAUAUUGGUAUAAAAUCUAUUGUAUGUUUUUUUCUUUUUUUUCUUUAAAAAGUUAUAUGCAAGGGGGGGCAUAUGAUAAUCUGUGUCCCAUGGACCCAAUCAUGACAUUUAUUUAUUCAGAGAAUUUUGAAAGGAAUAAAUAAUGAAUAAUUUUUCAUAAUUUUUUUUCAUCUUUUAGAAAAGUCGUCUCCUGAAACAACUGAGACAAAUCUACCUAAAUUUGGCCACACUCAUCAUUAGGGUAUGUAUAUAUAGUUUUAAAUGUGUUUGAUGACCCUGCCAACCUACAUGGCAGACAUGGCUAAAAAUAGAAAAUGCAGUGUUUACUUAUAUCUCUGAAACUAAUGCAAAAGUAUAACAUAUGCAUUAUUUCAUGCAUCAAUUGUAAAUGAGAAUAUGCGAUAAAGCCCAUUGGAGCCUCAACUUUCUAUAGCCAUUAUUGUUAUAGCUGGUCAGUGGUCAUAAACCUAUGAAAAUAAGUCAAUUAUUUAACCUCAGAGCACUACCAACAGAUUCUUAUCCAGUGUAUUUGAUCAUGUUGAUGAAUAAAUUUUAUUACAACUCGUUAACAGGGCAAGAUAUGGAAAUUUAUUUUUCUUCUGGUUUUAUAUAAAAAAAACAAAGGAAAAUGAUAUUUUGAUAAACAUUAAACAUGUUGUUGUGGUUUUGUGCUCUCUUGAACCAUCAGAUUAUUACUGUACUGCAAUAAAAAAAACAUUAAUGAAUUACAAGUAUCAGGGAUUUAGUGGAACUUGAAGUAAUUGAAAACUUGUUCAAAUCCCAAACUGCACUUUAACUUUACUUUGUAUCAACCAUUAAGUGUUGUGAAAUGUUUACACAAUGCUUGUUAACACCAAACACUGAUCAAGUCACUUUCGUCAUUCUCAUAUUAUCAUGAAUAUGUUACUUUUUUAAUAGGAAAAAGGAUAUAUAUUAGAGAUAUAUUUACAAGCAGGGACAUCUGUGUCCCAUGGACACAUUCUUGUUUUAUUUAUUACAUAUUUUAGUGUAUUAAAGUAAUUAUACUGCUUCCACCUUUCAAUAUUCUAACAAAGCUCUAUCUCAUUAAUGGAUAAAUAAAUGAUACUAGUCAAGACCUCAACAGAUAAUUUUUUUUCAGGUUCUCUGGUCGUAAGAACCUGUUGGCCACACACACAUGAAGAUUCUCAUUGAUCCUGCUUUCAGCUAAAUAUCAGAAAAAUUAAGAACAAAGGAAAAUAUGCUGAAACUGUACAGUCACCGGUCAGGAUUAUUUCAGAAGUGAAAUUAUAAUACAAUUUAUUUUACUGGUUAAUUCCUUUGAUUUGUAAUUUUAAACAACACACAGAGGCUUUGCAUUAUUGUUUUACAAGAGAGACACCAAAAGAUGCGGUCAACAUUUAUCAUUUUUAUCAAAAUACGCCCAGGACAAACCAUGGAUACACUUAACUUGAAAUAUGGUGCUUUCAUACCAAAAUUGCCUGGAAGUAAAAGAAAUAAAGAACCAUUCAUGUCAGCAAUCAGGGGAUAAGAUGAAAGAAUGCAGAAUAAGGUACUGACAUAUUCAGUCUUAAUAAGAGUCCUGCUGCUCUAUAUAUAUAUAUAUGCUUUUUGUUAAGCCCCAUCACAGCGUCACUCAUGAGUUUAAAAAGAUCUUUCAAUUUUAAUGCAAAAAAAAUGGCAUUUUUUCAUCAAAGGGAGAUAAUUUAGAGCUUUUUUUAAUGAUAAAAACAUUUCAAAAGUCAUCUGGGGCCAAAACAAAUUGAUUUGUUUGGUUGUUUUUUUGUACCAUAUCAUAUAUUAACCUCUGAUAGUGUAAAAAAAAAAUUUGUAUUGAAAAAAAUGGUUAAAUUUUUGCUGAAUUUUAAUACCCUUGAGUCUCCUUAAGAUCCAACUUUAGGUGACAGGAACGGUCUUGACUUGGAAAAGCCACAUGCAAACUCAAUAUUGCUCCCCUUUUAAAUCUCGAUCAGUGUUUGUAAAAAGAAAAAAGUAACAUAAAAGAAUGCAGGUUGCCAGGAACAUUCAAUUGAAGAAAGGGAAAAGAACACAACUCUUCGCUAAAUAAUUUUGAAAAAUUAUUGGCUAUACUAUCUUUAUUUUUAAAAAUUUCAUGUACAUUAUGAUCAUGUUGAUUGUGUGAAACGUCACACAAGGCAAUCAAAAUGGUCAGGGGGGAAAAGAAGUUUUAUUAUAAAUGUCAAAUGGUUAUAGCUUGUUGUUCGGUGUGAGCCAAGGCUCCGUGUUGAAGGCCGUAUAUUGACCUAUAAUGGUUUACUUUUUAGCCCACCUGGCCCAAAGGGCCAAGUGAGCUUUUCUCAUCACUUGGCGUCCGGCGUCCGGCUUCAUCCGGCGUUAACUUUUACAAAAAUCUUCUCCUCUGAAAAUACUGGCCAAUUAACCAAUCAUCAUUGGUAUCUAGUUUAAAAAAUGUGUCCGGUAACUCGGCCAACAAACCAAGAUGGCCGCCAUGGCUAAAAAUAGAACAUGGGGGUAAAUGCAGUUUUUGGCUUAUACUCAAAAACCAAAAGCAUCAAAGAGCAAAUCUGACAGGAAGUAAAAUUGUUGAUCAGGUCACGAUCCAUCUGCCCUGGAAUUUUCAGAUGAAUCUGAUAAUCGGUUGUUAGGUUGCUGCCCCUGAAUUGGUAAUUUUGAGGAAAUAUUGCUGUUUUUAGUUCACCUGGCCCGAAGGGCCAAGUGAGCUUUUCCCAUCACUUUGCGUCCGUCGUCUGUCGUCGUCCGUCGUCAUUAACUUUUACAAAAAUCUUCUCCUCUGAAACUACUGAGCCAAAUUUAACCAAACUUGGGCACAAUCAUCAUUGAGGUAUCUAGUUUAAAAAUUGUGUCCAAUGACCCGGUCAACCAACCAAGAUGGCCGCCACGGCUAAAAAUAGAACAUAGGGAUAAAAUGCAGUUUUUUGCUUAUAACUCAAAAACCAAAGCAUUUAGAGCAAAUCUGACAUGGGGUGAAAUUGUUCAUCAGGUCUAGAUCUAUCUGCCAUGAAAUUUUCAGAUUAAUCGGAAACCCGUUGUUGGGUUGCUGCCCCUGAAUUGGUAAUUUUAAGGAAAUUUUGCUGUUUUUGGUUAUUAUUUUGAAUAUCAUUAUAGAUAGAGAUAAACUGUAAACAGCAAUAAUGUUCAGCAAAGUAAGAUUCACAAAUAAGUUAACAUGACCAAAAUGGUCAGUUGACCCCUUUAGGAGUUAUUGCCCUUUAUAGUCAAUUUUUAACCAUUUUUCGUAAAUCUUAGUAAUCUUUUACAAAAAUCCUCUCCUCUGAAACAACUGGACCAAAUUAAACCAAACUUUUCCACAACUAUCAUUGGGGUAUCUAGUUUAAAAAAUGUGUGGCGUGACCAAGCCAACCAACCAAGAUGGCCCCCACGGCUAAAAAUAGAACACAGGGGUAAAAUGCAGUUUUUGGCUUAUGACUCAAAAACCAAAGCAUUUAAAGCAAAUCUGACAUCAAGUAAAAUUGUUUAUCAGGUCAAAAUCUAUCUGCCCUGAAAUUUUCAGAUGAAUCGGACAACCGGUUGUUGCACCUGAAAUGGUAAUUUUAAGGAAAUUUUGCUGUUUUUGGUUAUUAUCUUGAAUAUUAUUAUAGAUAGAGAUAAACUAUAAAAAACAAUAAAUGUUGGCAAAGUAAGAUCUACAAAUAAGUUAACAUGACCGAAAUUGUCAGUUGACCCUUUUAGGAGUUAUUGCCCUUUAUAGUCAAGUUUUUACCAAUUUUUUCGUAAAUUUUUUCGUAAAUCUUAGUAAUCUUUUACAAAAAUCUUCUCCUCUGAAACUACUGGGCCAAGUUAAUUAUAGAUAGAGAUAAUUGUAAGCAGCAAGAAUGUUUAGUAAAGUAAGAUCUACAAACACAUCACCAUCACCAAAACACAGUUUUGUCAUGAAUCCAUCUGUGUCCAUUGUUUAAUAUUCACAUAGACUAAGGUGAGCGACACAGGCUUUUUAUAGCUUCUAGUUUUUAAAAUUGUUAUUUGGAUGGAGAGUUGUUUUAUUGGCACUCACACCACAUCUUCCUAUAUCUAUAGUCUCAACCUAUCAACAUAAUCAAAAUUGUUGAUUUCACAGUUAAUAUUUACUUUUAGCAUGUUCAGCAGAAAAGAAUGUUUUUGUUAUAUUUUAUUAAAUGUUAAUUUACUUUGUUCUUAUAGGCAGGAGUGAAAGGAAGAGAAAGCAAGGCAUCAGUAAAGA
rnacentral:lncRNA from 1 species